rnacentral:lncRNA from 1 species
CUCUCCCAGAGGAAGCAACAGAGGUGGUGGAGGUGGAGGUACCACCGCCCAAGGUUGAGGAAGAAGAAGCUCCGCCUCCGGUGGAAGAAGAUCCGCCAGCGGAGGAGGUGGCAAAAGAAGAAGACGUCACGGAUCCACCAGCAGUGGAAGAGGCAGAAACUCCGGUUGAAGUUGAAACCAAGGAAGUAGUAGUAGAAGAAGAGGCAAAGGAAGAGAAGAAUGAAGAAGAAGAAGUAGUAGAAGAAGAGGAAAAGGAAGAGAAUAAAACAGAAGAGGCAGCUGAGGUUGUGGUGGAGGAAGAGACGAAAGCACCGGUGGAGGAGGCAGAGGAGAAGGCCGUGGAAGUGAAGCCUGCAGAAGAAGCAGAAGAGAAGGCAGAAGAAGAGGUUGGAGCAGAGAAGGUUGAGUAAUUAAAACCUGAAUACAUAUUAUUGGGUGUAAUAUGAAAAAAGUGAAUGGAGGGUGGUUUGAGAAAUUUGGUAACUUUAAAUUGUAGAGAGUUUUGUUUUUGUAAUAUGAAAAGUGGUUGAUUGAAUGGGGAUUGAAAUGGAGUGUAGUAAGCUAUAAAAGGAGUAUAGGGAUUGGGGAACUUUGUAUUUCUGUUUCUUGGAUGUCUGUUC